UCCCUGUGGCUCAGUUGGUAGAGCAUGGUGUUUGCAAUGCCAGGGUUGUGGGUUUGAUUCCCACGGGGAG
rnacentral:tRNA from 1 species